rnacentral:rRNA from 1 species
AUGGACCCUCCAAUUCUCCAAUGUUUAGCCUAUCGUGAAGCUCUUGCUCUAGCCCUAGAUCUCUCAUUAUCACACAUGGAGAUCGCAUCAGACUGCCAAGGAGUCGUCAAGGACAUCAACCAAUACACAUUUCGCAAAAAAAGGACAUCAACCAAUACACAGGAGGAACCUAUGCUGGCAUUAUCAGGGAGAUUAAAGCGGCAUCUAGUCAAUUUCAACAAUGCACUUUCUUUUUUGAAGGGCGUGCUACAAAUUUCGAGGCACAUAGUCUUGUUAGACAUGCUUUUGGUUUGGACUUUGGUGGUCAUGUGUGGCUUGGGCCCCCUCCAGACAUAUCUUUUAUUACCAUGA